UCAAAUGAGUGGUUGCGAUUUUCUAUGUUCUCUUUGUGUUAACGAUCUUAAAAUAUAUUCUUUGUUUACUGUGACUGAGCUGAAAAGUGAGCUUCGUAAGAGAAAUGCGUCAGUGGUAAGCAAAAACCCGAUCUGAGCCAAAGAUUGGAGGCGUAUGAUCGGAACCAAAACUUUGACGAUGGUUUGCAAAAGGACAAUUCUCAUAACUACCCACACCCUAAUACAUUCAGAGACAUGAACGCCGAUUAACCUGUUCCAAGCAUCAGCAAGCAGGAAAAAAUAGAAUAUCUGUAAAGAUUGAACACGGAACCAACGGCUAACUUUUAUACAAAUCUAGACAUCUUCUGACCGCCCCUUACUCAUGGGACACUAUUUAUUUCGUAAGAAGAAUAUGCAAAGCUUGCAAAAGUGAUGUAUUUAGUAGACAUUAAAGUAUCUCAAGAAGGAGGUGUAGACGUGUAAAGGAAUGCUAUUGUGAAUGCGCUGCAGGAAAUGGUGCACUUGCUAAGUGCAAAAAAUAUGUCUGUGUCAUGGUCAUUCAUGGCUUACAUCCACUAUCUUGAACCAGCAGUUUUUGAAAAAUAAUUGUAUAAAAAUUAUUUAAAUGUAAUAAAACCAAACAAUCAUUGAUAUCAGCUU